rnacentral:rRNA from 1 species
AUUAACGCUAGCGGCAGGCAUAAUACAUGCAAGUUGAACGGCAGCACAGGUAGCAAUACCGGGUGGCGGGUGGCGCACGGGUGCGUAACACGUAUGCAACCUACCCUAUACGGGCGAAUAACCUUUAGAAAUGAGGGCUAAUACGCCGUGGUAUUAUCUUGGGGCAUCUUGAGAUAAUUAAAAGAUUUAUCGGUAUAGGAUGGGCAUGCGUCCCAUUAGUUAGUUGGUAGGGUAACGGCCUACCAAGGCUAUGAUGGGUAGGGG